GGUCAAGCUACAAAGGGCUCACGGU
rnacentral:rRNA from 1 species